UAAGAAGGGGGCUAGCGUUGCUCGGAAUUACUGGGCGUAAAGCGCACGUAGGCGGACUUUUAAGUCGGGGGUGAAAUCCUGGAGCUCAACUCCAGAACUGCCUUCGAAACUGAAAGCCUUGAGUUCGGGGGAGGUGAGUGGAACUGCGAGUGUAGAGGUGAAAUUCGUAGAUAUUCGCAAGAACACCAGUGGCGAAGGCGGCUCACUGGCCCGAUACUGACGCUGAGGUGCGAAAGCGUGGGGAGCAAACAGG
rnacentral:rRNA from 1 species